rnacentral:misc_RNA from 1 species
UCCGGUUUGUCACCGGCAGUCUCCCUAGAGUUCCCACCAUUACGUGCUGGCAAAUAGGGACAAGGGUUGCGCUCGUUACGGGACUUAACCCAACAUCUCACGACACGAGCUGACGACAGCCAUGCAGCACCUGUCUCUAAGCUCCCGAAGGCACCCCCGCAUCUCUGCAGGGUUCUUAGGAUGUCAAGACCUGGUAAGGUUCUUCGCGUUGCGUCGAAUUAAACCACAUGCUCCACCGCUUGUGCGGGCCCCCGUCAAUUCAUUUGAGUUUUAAUCUUGCGACCGUACUCCCCAGGCGGCCAACUUAUCGCGUUAGCUUCGCCACUAAAGGCACAAAGGCCUCCAACGGCUAGUUGGCAUCGUUUACGGCGUGGACUAC